rnacentral:rRNA from 1 species
GACGAACGCUGGCGGCGUGCCUAACACAUGCAAGUCGAACGGGGAGUUAUUUAUAACUCCUAGUGGCGAACGGGUGAGUAACGCGUAGACAACAUGCCUCUAAAUUGGGGACAACACCGCGAAAGAGAAGAUAAUACAGAAUGUGGUAAAAUGGACGCAUGAAUAGGUUAAGACAGAUGGCCUCUAUAUAUAAGCUAUCGAUUAGAGAUGGGUCUGUGUCUGAUUAGCUAGUUGGUGAGGUAAUGGCUCACCAAGGCGACGAUCAGUAGCCGGUCUGAUAGGAUGAACGGCCACACUGGGACUGGAACACGGCCCAGACCCCGACGGGAGGCAGCAGUGGGGAAUCUUCCGCAAUGGACGAAAGUCUGACGGAGCAACGCCGCGUGAGUGAAGAAGGUCUUCGGAUUGUAAAGCUCUGUCGUUUGGGACGAACGUGGAUUGUGUGAAUAAUGCAGUCUAAUGACGGUACCAAAGGAGGAAGCCACGGCUAACUACGUGCCAGCCGCCGCGGUAA